UACGUAGGCAGCGAGCGUUGUUCGGAGUUACUGGGCGUAAAGCGUGCGUAGGCGGUGCCAUAAGUCUGUUGUGAAAUCUCCCGGCUCAACUGGGAGGGUGCGGUGGAAACUGUGGUGCUGGAGUGUGGGAGAGGUAGGCGGAAUUCCUGGUGUAGCGGUGAAAUGCGUAGAUAUCAGGAGGAACACCUGUGGUGUAGACGGCUUACUGGACCAUGACUGACGCUGAGGCACGAAAGCGUGGGGAGCAAACAGG
rnacentral:rRNA from 2 species